rnacentral:misc_RNA from 1 species
UGGCUCUCGCAUCGAUGAAGAACGCAGCGAAAUGCGAUAAGUAAUGUGAAUUGCAGAAUUCAGUGAAUCAUCGAAUCUUUGAACGCACCUUGCGCCCCUUGGUAUUCCGAGGGGCAUGCCUGUUUGAGUGUCAUUAAAUUAUCAACCCAAAAAGACUUUGCGCUCUUGGUGUUUGGAAUUGGAGUGUGCAGGGCCCUCUAUAGGCUCUGCUCCUCUUGAAAUGGAUUAGUGGAGUUUCCAAUCCGGUGGACCUGCCCUAGCGUGAUAAUUAUCUACGUUGCGGUGGCAAAACUAUAAAGGGAUCCGCUUACAACCGUUGCAUAUAUGCGCAACAAGACUCUAUGACAAUUUGACCUCAAAUCAGGUAGGAUUACCCGCUGA